UACGUAGUGGGCAAGCGUUGUCCGGAUUUAUUGGGCGUAAAGAGCGUGUAGGCGGUUUGGUAGGUCCGCUGUGAAAACUCGAGGCUCAACCUCGAGACGCCGGUGGAAACCAUCAGGCUAGAGUCCGGAAGAGGAGAGUGGAAUUCCUGGUGUAGCGGUGAAAUGCGCAGAUAUCAGGAAGAACACCCGUGGCUAAGGCGGCUCUCUAGUACGGUACUGACGCUGAGACGCAAAAGCGUGGGGAGCGAACAGG
rnacentral:rRNA from 1 species